GAUGAACGCUGGCGGCGUGCAUAACACAUUCAAGUCGAACGGAGCUAUUGGAAUUAAUCCUUCGGGAAGCGUAAAGAUAGCUUAGUGGCGGACGGGUGAGUAACGCGUGAGCAACCUGCCUCUGUAUAUGGGAUAACGUUUGGAAACGGACGCUAAUACCGUAUGAAGCAUAGACACCGCAUGAUGACUAUGCCAAAGAUUUAUUGUACAGAGAUGGGCUCGCGCCUGAUUAGGUAGUUGGUGAGGUAACGGCCCACCAAGCCGACGAUCAGUAGCCGGACUGAGAGGUUGAACGGCCACGUUGGAACUGAGAUACGGUCCAGACUCCUACGGGAGGCAGCAGUGGGGAAUUUUGGGCAAUGGGCGAAAGCCUGACCCAGCGACGCCGCGUGAGGGAAGAAGGUCUUCGGACUGUAAACCUUUGUUGACAGGGACGAAAAAAAUGACGGUACCUGUCGAGGAAGCCACGGCUAACUACGUGCCAGCCGCCGCCGUAAAAC
rnacentral:rRNA from 1 species